rnacentral:rRNA from 1 species
GAUGAACGCUGGCGGCGUGCCUAAUACAUGCAAGUCGAGCGGAGAUGAACGCUGGCGGCGUGCCUAAUACAUGCAAGUCGAGCGGACAGAUGGGAGCUUGCUCCCUGAUGUUAGCGGCGGACGGGUGAGUAACACGUGGGUAACCUGCCUGUAAGACUGGGAUAACUCCGGGAAACCGGGGCUAAUACCGGAUGGUUGUUUGAACCGCAUGGUUCAAACAUAAAAGGUGGCUUCGGCUACCACUUACAGAUGGACCCGCGGCGCAUUAGCUAGUUGGUGAGGUAACGGCUCACCAAGGCAACGAUGCGUAGCCGACCUGAGAGGGUGAUCGGCCACACUGGGACUGAGACACGGCCCAGACUCCUACGGGAGGCAGCAGUAGGGAAUCUUCCGCAAUGGACGAAAGUCUGACGGAGCAACGCCGCGUGAGUGAUGAAGGUUUUCGGAUCGUAAAGCUCUGUUGUUAGGGAAGAACAAGUACCGUUCGAAUAGGGCGGUACCUUGACGGUACCUAACCAGAAAGCCACGGCUAACUACGUGCCAGCAGCCGCGGUAAUACGUAGGUGGCAAGCGUUGUCCGGAAUUAUUGGGCGUAAAGGGCUCGCAGGCGGUUUCUUAAGUCUGAUGUGAAAGCCCCCGGCUCAACCGGGGAGGGUCAUUGGAAACUGGGGAACUUGAGUGCAGAAGAGGAGAGUGGAAUUCCACGUGUAGCGGUGAAAUGCGUAGAGAUGUGGAGGAACACCAGUGGCGAAGGCGACUCUCUGGUCUGUAACUGACGCUGAGGAGCCAAAGCUUGGGGAGCGAACAGGAUUAGAUACCCUGGUAGUCCACGCCGUAAACGAUGAGUGCUAAGUGUUAGGGGGUUU